rnacentral:rRNA from 1 species
UACGUAAGGUGCAAGCGUUAAUCGGAAUUACUGGGCGUAAAGCGUGCGCAGGCGGUUAUGCAAGACAGAUGUGAAAUCCCCGGGCUCAACCUGGGAACUGCAUUUGUGACUGCAUGGCUAGAGUGCGGCAGAGGGGGAUGGAAUUCCGCGUGUAGCAGUGAAAUGCGUAGAUAUGCGGAGGAACACCGAUGGCGAAGGCAAUCCCCUGGGCCUGCACUGACGCUCAUGCACGAAAGCGUGGGGAGCAAACAGG